CUGAAUGGGGAAACCUACUUGAGCAAACCUCAAGUAUCCAUACGUGAAUCCAUAGCGUAUGGAAGGGAACGUUGUGAACUGAAACAUCUAAGUAGCAAUAGGAGGAGAAAGAAAAAUCGAUUUCCUAAGUAGCGGCGAGCGAAAGGGAAAGAGGCCAAACCGAAGGACCUGGUUCUUCGGGGUUGUGGACUGCAUCAAGCGAUGGAGGCUAUGGUAGUCGAACUGUUUUGGGAAAGCAGACCAAAGACGGUGAAAGUCCGGUAGACGAAACCAGAAGACCCGCUGCAGGAUCCAGAGUACCACGGGACACGAGAAACCCUGUGGGAAGCCGGGGGGACCACCCCCCAAGCCUAAAUACUCCCCAGUGACCGAUAGUGAAGCAGUACUGUGAAGGAAAGGUGAAAAGAACCCCGGGAGGGGAGUGAAAAAGAACCUGAAACCUUGUGCUUACAAACAGUCAGAGGUCUUCGGACUGAUGGCGUACUUUUUGUAGAACGGUCCGGCGAGUUACUAAUGCCAGCGAGGUUAAGUGGUCAGAAGCCACGGAGCCGAAGGGAAACCAAGUCUGAAUAGGGCGUAAAGUUAGUAUUAGUAGACCCGAAACCGGGUGACCUAUCCAUGUCCAGGUUGAAGGAGCCGUAAAAGGCUUUGGAGGACCGAACACACAUCUGUUGAAAAAGGUGGUGAUGAGGUGUGGAUAGCGGAGAAAUUCCAAUCGAACUCGGAGAUAGCUGGUUCUCCUCGAAAUAGCUUUAGGGCUAGCCUCGAGAUGGAGUCUAACGGAGGUAAAGCACUGAACUGACGCGGGGCCCAAAAAGGUUACCAACUCAUAUCAAACUAAGAAUGCCGUCAAGAUACCCUCGGGAGUCAGUCUGCGUGAGAUAAGUCGCGUGGACAAAAGGGAAAGAGCCCAGACCGACAGCUAAGGUCCCAAAGUACGUGUUAAGUGGAAAAGGAUGUGGGAUUUCAUAGACAACUAGGAUGUUGGCUUAGAAGCAGCCAUACAUUUAAAGAGUGCGUAACAGCUCACUAGUCGAGAAAACCUGCGCCGAAAAUUUAACGGGGCUAAAACACGACACCGAAGCUACGGAUUUCCUACUAGGUAGGAAGUGGUAGAGGAGCAUCCUGCAAGGACGAAGCCAAAGUGAGAACGAUGGUGGACGAAACAGGAGAGAGAAUGCCGGAAUGAGUAGCGAGAUAGAAGUAAGAAACUUCUAGGCCGAAUAUCUAAGGUUUCCUGGGUAAAGCUAAUCUUCCCAGGGUUAGUCGGGGCCUAAGGCGAGGACGAAAGUCGUAGUCGAUGGAUAACAGGUUGAUAUUCCUGUACUACGUAUCAUCAGAACUGUGGGGACGCAGGAGGAUAGGAAAACCGGGGAAUGGAAAAACCCGGCCAAGUACAAAGUCAAGGGAGAUAGGCAAAUCCGUCUCUUGAUGAUGAAGUGCGAUGGGGACUGAAUAAAAGUAGGGAAGUUUCCGAAUCCACACUGUCGAGAAAAGCCGCUAUUGUGUGAUACGUACCCGUACCGUAAACCGACACAGGUAGAUGAGGAGAAAAUCCACAGGCCGACGGGAGAAGUGUUGUUAAGGAACUCGGCAAAAUGACCCCGUAACUUAGGGAGAAGGGGAGCCACGCAAGUGGCCGCAGAAAAGAGGCUCAAGCGACUGUUUAGCAAAAACACAGGUCUCUGCGAAACCGAAAGGUGAAGUAUAGGGGCUGACACCUGCCCGGUGCUGGAAGGUUAAAAGGAGAGGUUCGACGUAAGUCAAAGCUUUGAAUUCAAGCCCCAGUAAACGGCGGCCGUAACUAUAACGGUCCUAAGGUAGCGAAAUUCCUUGUCAGGUAAGUUCUGACCCGCACGAAAGGUGUAACGAUUUGAGCACUGUCUCGACAACACGCCCGGUGAAAUUGAAGAACCAGUGAAGAUACUGGUUACCCGCAACAGGACGGAAAGACCCCAUGGAGCUUUACUGCAGCCUGAUACUGGGAUUCGAUGAUAUAUGUACAGGAUAGGAGGGAGACUAGGAAUCCGGGACGCCAGUUUCGGAGGAGUCGACGGUGGGAUACCUCUCUUAUGUUAUUGGAUUUCUAACUUGGCACCGUUAUCCGGUGUGAGGACAAUGUCAGGCGGGCAGUUUGACUGGGGCGGUCGCCUCCUAAAAGGUAACGGAGGCGCUCGAAGGUCACCUCAGAAUGAUUGGAAACCAUUCAAAGAGUGUAAAGGCAAAAGGUGGCUUGACUGCGACACCGACGGGUGGAGCAGGUACGAAAGU
rnacentral:rRNA from 1 species